UGGGGAAUAUUGCACAAUGGGGGAAACCCUGAUGCAGCGACGCCGCGUGAACGAAGAAGGUAUUCGUAUCGUAAAGUUCUGUCCUAUGGGAAGAUAAUGACAGUACCAUAGAAGAAAGCUCCGGCUCAAUACGUGCCAGCAGCCGCGGUAAUACGUAUGGAGCGAGCGUUGUCCGGAAUUAUUGGGCGUAAAGGGUACGCAGGCGGUUUAAUAAGUCGAAUGUUAAAGAUCGGGGCUCAACCCCGUAAAGCAUUGGAAACUGAUAAACUUGAGUAGUGGAGAGGAAAGUGGAAUUCCUAGUGUAGUGGUGAAAUACGUAGAUAUUAGGAGGAAUACCAGUAGCGAAGGCGACUUUCUGGACACAAACUGACGCUGAGGUACGAAAGCGUGGGGAGCAAACAGG
rnacentral:rRNA from 1 species